ACCAUCCAGAUAUCAAAUCCUAUCCAAGCAUCCAAUGAUUGACAUUUGACACGAUUCUGUUGGCUUGCAGGAGAUGCCAGUUGACCCAUUAAUAAUCUAUGCGAGAAACAAAGAAUACCAUUUUUUAAAUUCUACCAACCAUCUUUCUGUCAUGAUUACUUGAUUGAUAUGACCAUUCGCUCUGCCUAAGAACUACAAGUGCCAUU
rnacentral:lncRNA from 1 species